CCUACGGGAGGCAGCAGUGGGGAAUCUCGCGCAAUGGGCGAAAGCCUGACGCAGCCAUGCCGCGUGAAUGAUGAAGGUCUUAGGAUUGUAAAAUUCUUUCACCGGGGACGAUAAUGACGGUACCCGGAGAAGAAGCCCCGGCUAACUUCGUGCCAGCAGCCGCGGUAAUACGAAGGGGGCUAGCGUUGCUCGGAAUUACUGGGCGUAAAGGGAGCGUAGGCGGACAUUUAAGUCAGGGGUGAAAUCCCGGGGCUCAACCUCGGAAUUGCCUUUGAUACUGGGUGUCUUGAGUAUGAGAGAGGUGUGUGGAACUCCGAGUGUAGAGGUGAAAUUCGUAGAUAUUCGGAAGAACACCAGUGGCGAAGGCGACACACUGGCUCAUUACUGACGCUGAGGCUCGAAAGCGUGGGGAGCAAACAGGAUUAGAUACCCUGGUAGUCCACGCCGUAAACGAUGAUUGCUAGUUGUCGGGAUGCNNGNAUUCGUGCGCNNCUACNCAUAGCAUCGCCGUGGNGGUACGGUCGCGAGAUUAAACUUAAAGUAAGUAGUAGACGUGAGAGAGCGACGACGACGACGACGGAGGAG
rnacentral:rRNA from 1 species